rnacentral:rRNA from 1 species
GUGGAUUAGAUACCCUGGUAGUCCUGGCAGUAAACGGUGCACGUUUGGUGUGGGAGGAUUCGACCCCUUCCGCGCCGGAGCUAACGCGUUAAACGUGCCGCCUGGGGAGUACGGUCGCAAGAUUAAAACUCAAAGAAAUUGACGGGGGCCCGCACAAGCGGUGGAGUAUGUGGCUUAAUUCGAUGCAACGCGAAGAACCUUACCUGGCCUUGACAUGCAUCUCUAAGUAGGUGAAAGCCUAUGACUUCCGAAAGGAAGAAUUUGCACAGGUGCUGCACGGUCGUCGACAGCU